GCCUGGGUGGCUCAGUCGGUUGAGCAUCUGACUUUGGCUCAGGUCAUGAUCUCGCGGUCUGUGGGUUCGAGCCCCGCGUCGGGCU
rnacentral:tRNA from 1 species